rnacentral:rRNA from 1 species
GUCUUGAUGGCGACCGGCGCAAGGGUGCGUAACGCGUGAGCAACUUGCCCGUUUCAGGGGGAUAACCGGUGGAAACGCCGACUAAUACCCCAUAGUAUCAUUUUAAGGCAUCUUUUAAUGAUUAAAGAAUUUCGGAAACGGAUAGGCUCGCGUGACAUUAGCUAGAUGGCGGGGUAACGGCCCACCAUGGCGACGAUGUCUAGGGGUUCUGAGAGGAAGGUCCCCCACACUGGAACUGAGACACGGUCCAGACUCCUACGGGAGGCAGCAGUGAGGAAUAUUGGUCAAUGGUCGAGAGACUGAACCAGCCAUGCCGCGUGAAGGUCACGGCCCUAUGGGUCUUAAACUUCUUUUGUAAGGGAGCAAUAAGUUCUACGUGUAGAAUGAUGAGAGUACCUUACGAAUAAGCAUCGGCUAACUCCGUGCCAGCAGCCGCGGUAAUACGGGGGAUGCAAGCGUUAUCCGGAUUUAUUGGGUUUAAAGGGUGCGUAGGCGGUCUGGUAAGUCAGCGGUGAAAUUUCCGAGCUCAACUUGGAACGUGCCGUUGAUACUGUCGGACUAGAAUGCGGAUGCCGUGGGAGGAAUGUGUGGUGUAGCGGUGAAAUGCAUAGAUAUCACACAGAACACCGAUUGCGAAGGCAUCUCACGAAUCCGCAAUUGACGCUGAGGCACGAAAGCGUGGGGGUCAAACAGGAUUAGA